GUCCACGCCGUAAACGAUGGAUACUAGCUGUUGGGGCAACUUCAGUGGCUAAGCGAAAGUGAUAAGUAUCCCACCUGGGGAGUACGUUCGCAAGAAUGAAACUCAAAGGAAUUGACGGGGGCCCGCACAAGCGGUGGAGCAUGUGGUUUAAUUCGAUGAUACGCGAGGAACCUUACCAAGGCUUAAAUGUAGUUUGACCGAUUUGGAAACAGAUCUUUCGCAAGACAAAUUACAAGGUGCUGCAUGGUUGUCGU
rnacentral:rRNA from 1 species